AGGAUGAACGCUGGCGGCGUGCUUAACACAUGCAAGUCGAGCGGAGAUUAUAGCGGAGAGCUCGGCAGGAAGCUUAACAAUCUAGGCGGCGGACGGGUGAGUAACGUGUGGGCAACCUGCCCUGUACUGUGGAAUAAUCACUGGAAACGGUGACUAAUACCGCAUGUCAUCUAAGGAAGGCAUCUUCUUUAGAGAAAAGGAUUUAUUCGGUACAGGAUGGGCCCGCAUCUGAUUAGCUAGUUGGUGAGAUAACAGCCCACCAAGGCAACGAUCAGUAGCCGACCUGAGAGGGUGAUCGGCCACAUUGGGACUGAGACACGGCCCAAACUCCUACGGGAGGCAGCAGUGGGGAAUAUUGCACAAUGGGCGAAGGCCUGAUGCAGCAACGCCGCGUGAAGGAUGAAGGGUUUCGGCUCGUAAACUUCUAUCAAUAGGGACGAAAAAAUGACGGUACCUAAAUAAGAAGCCCCGGCUAACUACGUGCCAGCCGCUGC
rnacentral:rRNA from 1 species